AGUGGGGAAUAUUGCACAAUGGGCGCAAGCCUGAUGCAGCCAUGCCGCGUGUGUGAAGAAGGCCUUCGGGUUGUAAAGCACUUUCAGCAGUGAGGAAGGCGGGUACGUUAAUAGCGUAUUCGUUUGACGUUAGCUGCAGAAGAAGCACCGGCUAACUCCGUGCCAGCAGCCGCGGUAAUACGGAGGGUGCGAGCGUUAAUCGGAAUUACUGGGCGUAAAGCGCAUGCAGGUGGUUCGUUAAGUCAGAUGUGAAAGCCCGGGGCUCAACCUCGGAACUGCAUUUGAAACUGGCGGACUAGAGUACUGUAGAGGGGGGUAGAAUUUCAGGUGUAGCGGUGAAAUGCGUAGAGAUCUGAAGGAAUACCGGUGGCGAAGGCGGCCCCCUGGACAGAUACUGACACUCAGAUGCGAAAGCGUGGGGAGCAAA
rnacentral:rRNA from 1 species